GACGAACGCUGGCGGCAUGCCUAAUACAUGCAAGUCGAGCGAACAGAUGAAGUGCUUGCGCUUCUGACGUUAGCGGCGAACGGGUGAGUAACACGUAAGGAAUCUACCUAUAAGCGGGGGAUAACAUUCGGAAACGGGUGCUAAUACCGCAUAAUAUCUUCCUCCGCAUGGAAGAAGAUUGAAAGACGGCUCUGCUGUCACUUAUAGAUGACCUUGCGGUGCAUUAGUUAGUUGGUGGGGUAAUGGCCUACCAAGACGAUGAUGCAUGGCCGACCUGAGAGGGUGUUCGGCCACAUUGGGACAGAGACACGGCCCAAACUCCUACGGGAGGCAGCGGUAGGGAAUCUUCCGCAAUGGGCGAAAGCCUGACGGAGCAAUGCCGCGUGAGUGAAGAAGGCCUUCGGGUCGUAAAACUCUGUUAUAAGAGAAGAACAAAUUGUAGAGUAACUGCUACAGUCUUGACGGUAUCUUAUCAGAAAGCCACGGCUAACUACGUGCCAGCAGCCGCCGUAA
rnacentral:rRNA from 1 species